GAAAAAGGGUGUAAGUGUAUGUGUUGAGUGGCUGGAUAUUGGCUAUAUAAACCUCGUACUUACCUUGCGCCGUCGCUGUUGCUGCUGCUGCUGCCGCCGUAUCCUCCUCCUCCUAAACAGAGCUGAUGUAGACGGAAUAGCUAUUGUGUCUUGACAAAAUGGCGAAUGUAUAUAUUUUUUAUUAAAUCUUGUUAAAAUG